GAAAUGCGAUAAGUAGUGUGAAUUGCAGAAUUCAGUGAAUCAUCGAAUCUUUGAACGCACAUUGCGCCCCUUGGUAUUCCAUGGGGCAUGCCUGUUCGAGCGUCAUUUGUACCCUCAAGCUCUGCUUGGUGUUGGGUGUUUGUCCAGUCUCCGCGCGUGGACUCGCCCCAAAGUGAUUGGCAGCCGGCGUACUGGUCCCGGAGCGCAGCACAUGUCGCGCAAACGAGUGCCUUAGUACGGCGGCGUCCAUAAGCCCCUCUCUCACGCUCUUGACCUCGGAUCAGGUAGGGAUACCCGCUGAACUUAAGC
rnacentral:misc_RNA from 1 species